rnacentral:tRNA from 1 species
UUCCUUGUGGCUCAGAUGGUAAAAGUGUCUGCCUAUAAUGCAGGAGACCUGGGUUCGAUCCCUGGGUGGGGAUA